rnacentral:rRNA from 1 species
CUGCGGCAGCUUAUACAUGCAAGUCGAGGGGCAACAUGAAGUAGCAAUACUUUGAUGGCGACCGGCAAACGGGUGCGGAACACGUACACAACCUUCCUUUUAGUGGGGAAUAGCCCAGAGAAAUUUGGAUUAAUACCCCGUAACAUAACCGAGUGGCAUCACUUGGUUAUUAUAGCUUCGGCGCUAGAUGAUGGGUGUGCGUAUGAUUAGAUAGUUGGCGAGGUAACGGCUCACCAAGUCUACGAUCAUUAGCUGAUGUGAGAGCAUGAUCAGCCACACGGGCACUGAGACACGGGCCCGACUCCUACGGGAGGCAGCAGUAAGGAAUAUUGGUCAAUGGACGCAAGUCUGAACCAGCUAUGCCGCGUGAAGGAUUAAGGUCCUCUGGAUUGUAAACUUCUUUUAUCUGGGACGAAAAAAGGUCUUUCUAGACCCCUUGACGGUACCAGAUGAAUAAGCACCGGCUAACUCCGUGCCAGCAGCCGCGGUAAU